GACGAACGCUGGCGGCGUGCUUAGCACAUGCAAGUCGUACGGUAAGGCCCUUUCGGGGGUACACGAGUGGCGAACGGGUGAGUAACACGUGAGUAACCUGCCCACAACUUUGGGAUAACGCUAGGAAACUGGUGCUAAUACUGGAUAUGUGCUCCUGCUGCAUGGUGGGGGUUGGAAAGCUCCGGCGGUUGUGGAUGGACUCGCGGCCUAUCAGCUUGUUGGUGGGGUAGUGGCCUACCAAGGCGGCGACGGGUAGCCGGCCUGAGAGGGUGACCGGCCACAUUGGGACUGGGAUACGGCCCAGACUCCUACGGGAGGCAGCAGUGGGGAAGAUUGCACAAUGGGCGCAAGCCUGAUGCAGCAACGCCGCGUGCGGGAUGACGGCCUUCGGGUUGUAAACCGCUUUCAGCAGGGACGAAGCUUUUUGUGACGGUACCUGCAGAAGAAGCACCGGCUAACUACGUG
rnacentral:rRNA from 1 species